GUGGUGUGGGAUGGGCCCGCGUUGGAUUAGCCAGUUGGCAGGGUAACGGCCUACCAAAGCGACGAUCCAUAGCCGGCCUGAGAGGGUGAACGGCCACAUUGGGACUGAGACACGGCCCAGACUCCUACGGGAGGCAGCAGUGGGGAAUAUUGCACAAUGGGGGAAACCCUGAUGCAGCAACGCCGCGUGAAGGAAGAAGUAUUUCGGUAUGUAAACUUCUAUCAGCAGGGAAGAAGAAAGUGACGGUACCUGACUAAGAAGAACCGGCUAAAUAC
rnacentral:rRNA from 1 species